AAGGAGGCGUGUGAUCGUCUGACGUCAGCAUCUGGAUCACGUGCAACUGUCUCCGUCAUCGAGCGUAGGACGGCUGCCAUUGGAGGGCUGCGGCGCAUGCGCUAGCUGUCGUCACUGUGGCGCGAGUUGUGUAAAUGAGUCUGGCGUGUCGGAGGGGAAGUGUGUGCCCUCAGCGAGCAAGUUGCAUUUAAGGGACAGGACAAAGUAAAAUGACCUGCUCAAGAAUGGAUAUUGAAGGCAUUUGUAGCGUGAUUUCGGUCAUGCAGAAGAAUUUGGAGUGCCCAAUCUGCUUAGAGCUGAUGAAGGAACCAGUUGCAACAAAGUGUGAUCACAUAUUUUGCAAAUUUUGUAUGCUACAACUUCUCAGCAAAAAGAAGAAAGGAACUGUUCCGUGCCCUUUAUGCAAGACCGAAGUAACUAGAAGGAGUCUUCAGGAAAGUCACCGAUUCAAACUUCUGGUUGAAGGGCAGCUGAAGAUUAUAAAAGCCUUUGAGUUUGACUCGGGAUACAAAUUCUUUCCAAGUCAAGAACACACAAAGGGGUUGGAUUCCACAAUCGAGGAUGUCUUGGUGAAGGAAGAUCAGUCCAUAGUGCACUGCAAAGGUUACAGAAACCGUAAAAAAGGCGUCUUCAACAGAAAAACGUAUGAAGAAACUGGAAUGUUAUCGGUAUCCAAAGCCGAAGAGCAAUUUGCUAAAGAAGUUACAAGACUGAUUCCUUGCAGACAGAAGAAACCUAAGAAAGAGGCUGCACUCAUUUUCAGUAAUUGUGUUCCUGAUUCUUCUGAUGGUGAUUUAUUGAAUAAAGAAAAUGGCUUGAGAAAUGACUGCUCUCCACUCCACUAUGAAAAAGAAGACACACAAAUUCCAGAGAUGGAAGAAAUGGUGGAAUCGGACCUAGCUGAAUGUGAAUUUGCUGAAAGUGCAGGAAGCAAUUUAUUGGGUUUUGACGGUCCUGAAGGCAUUCCUGAAAUAUCAGCAGAAACAAGUGUCAAUGCAGCUGGUAAUUGUGACUUUUAUGGAAGAAAAACAGAGCAGUUCCCUAAUGACCAUCAUUGCAGCUUCAAGCAAAAUAUUGCAGAUGCAGAGCAAAACAAAAGAAAUCAGCAUUGCGGCAAUGUUCCUUUUGCACCAAUGGGGAAAUCCAAUUUAGAUGAAAAGGAAACCGUAGAAACUGACUUUGAUAACCAGCAUAAUGACUCAAACCCUGAGAAUAAUGACCCUUUAGGCAAAGUCACUAAACUAAUGAGAAGGAGCACAGAACGGGUCAAUGAGUGGUUGCUAAAAACAAAUCAGGAUUUCAGCACUUUGUCAGCAGAGGAAGACCCUAUCCUUGAUGCAUUAGCUUUGCAAAAUAAAGAGACCUCUGACAAAAGAUCUUGCUCCUCAGAUGACUCUGAAUUAAUGCCUGUACUUCAUAAACAUGCUGAGAAGGGUAUAUCAGGUGGUGGUUUUGACAAACCAGCAGUUGGCGUAAAGGACAAAAUAUUCUGUAAAGUCUACAAGAGAGAGAGAAAAGCUAUGCCUCCAAAUAAUAUAACCUGUGUAGCUGAGGUCCAUCAUGAUAGUGCUUUAGAGACUGGCAAAGAAAAUAUGACUCUGGAAUAUGGCACAGGAAUGAGUCAUUUAAUGUCCAAACGGAAAAUGGUCUACAGUCUAAAUCCUGAAAACACUUCCAAGAAGAAUGACCUAGCUAACAUAAAUGGAAGCAUUAAUGUUUUUCCUGACUGUAUAUCUGAUGCCAAUUUAGAGCUGGAGGAUAAAUCAGAGGCUGACUCUAAUUCUGCUGAUGCAUGUCAGUCUGACAUAGUUCAUUCCAGUAAUACUCAAAUUAAACAACAGUGUGUGGAAUCUUUGGCAAAUGCAGGUGAAACCAGAAAAAAGCAAGAGUUAUCUUGUGAACGAAGCCAAGAGGAAAAAGACUUUACUCAGUCUGGUGCAUUAGGACCUAAAACACGCUCACAGCAAAGUCCUUACGGGCACUCGGAGCUACAUAUAGAAAGUUCUCAAAUUAGUAAUGAGCCAAGUAAUGUAACAAAGCAGGUGGAAGUGAGACGAAGCAGAAGGCUUUUGAUGUUGCCAAAAGGACCAGGAAACAAAUCAAAUUCGAAUGCAGUUAAGGAAAUGAAUGAACAGGAGAAUAUUGCUCAGAUUCCAGAAUUUCGGGUGAAAGAAACAAAUAAAAACAAUGAGAUUUCUGAUACAGUUCCUUCACAACUUAAAAAGAAAGACACAUACUUCCCACCUUGCACUUCUGAAGAUACUGGUGAAUUGGAGAAUGGGAUUCCUGUGAGAAAAAUCAGUGAUCAGAAUGCCUCUUUAGAUAAUCCUAUAGACCCCUGUAAGGAUGAAUAUUCGGACACCUUGCUACAUGUUGCAGGGGAUAAUGUGCAGCCUGAUUACAUGGAAACUGAAGAGUCGGAACUGGAAACCCAACACAUAGUAAAAAUGUUUAAAACUUCUAAGCGGACAUCCUUCAUAUUAGAGUCCAAGGAAGCAGAAAAUGAGAAUAGGGUAAACUCUGCUGUGGAGAUUUCGCAGGUCGAAACUUCUAAUGAGUUGCCUAAUGUUGCUGAAUGCAGGCACACUUCUCUGUUAAGUUCAGCUAAAGAACAAAGUGGUGCAUUGCUGAAACAGGGCAGCCCCAGUAGUGAGCCUAAAAAAACCAGCCCAAUACACAUGCUCAAAAAAACUGAAUCAAAACAUAGCAAAAUGUCCCGCAACAGAAGAGGGAAAGUUAAACCCAGUUCUAAUUCUGCUAAAAAUACUACUGGCCAGCCAGACAAUUUAAACAACCCCACCCAGGGGGUCACUGGUAGCCUAUAUAAUAAACAAGUAAUGAGUGAUUGUCCUAUGAGGCCCAAUGUUGAUGAAGAACAUACAAAUGCAUCAGCUAAAGGUAGCCAAAGUUCAGUGGCUGAUAAAUCCACAGCACAUUCUAAUGUCAAUACUGACUUCAUAUCUGAUAUUAAUUCUGCCACUCCUGAUGGAUUGUUGCAUUACAUGGAUAAGGCUGAAGGAAAUUCAAGCCCAUGGGAUACAACCAGAGACAAAAAUGCAGCUCUCCUUGAGAGUUGUCUUCCUUCUGCCUAUGGAUCAACAGGGGAAAAAACUCCUAUACCAAAGGUACAAUCAUCAGAGGAAGGAUCAUCUCAGGGUCUAUUUAAUCAAAAGCCAAAGUGCUCAUCCUCCGGUAAAGCAGAUCAGAAGAAUUCUUCUAAGAAUCCAGGUAAAUCUCAGCGUAGGAUCUUGUCAGAUUUCAGCGGCAGCAGCAAUAACGGAAAAUGCAGUUCACAGGAGAUGCUGUCAAAGGCAGCCUUUCCUUCUCUGAGUCAAGAAUCGCAGUGUUCCGUGAGCUUGUUCUCCACACAGUCAAAUAUGUCUCAGCAAUCUGUAGAUGAAGACCACAAACAAGAUGUGCUCCAGGAUGAACUAGUCAGUCCAAAUAAAACCAAACGGACAGCCAUCAGUGGUACAGAAGAGACACAGAUUUCUCCCCUUCGGGACCAGUAUCAGAAUCCUGAUAUAGAUGAAGCAUCAGAAUGUGAGAGUGAAGCAAGUCAUACAGGAGAUUCCUCUAUAUUGUCUUCACAGGAUGAACUCCUGAACACCCAGCAACGGAAUUACAUGAAGGACAGCUUAAAGAAACUGCAGCAAGAGAUGGCUGCAUUGGAAGCAGUACUGGGGCAGCAUGGGACCCAGAAACUUGAAGCAGAGACAACAUGCAUCCCUUCAUCUGAGCAUGUCACAGAAAUGCCGGAGGCUCCUGAAGAAGAAGAAGAAGAAGAGGAGACAUAUCAAGGAGAGAACUUAUUUGUAAAAACCCCUCCAGAGCAUGUUGCAAAUGGGUCAACUUUGAUAGGCCAGAGCACUGACAAUGGAUUGCAGGGCAGGAAUCGGCCAGUGUCUCCAUCUUUUCUAUGCCAGACCAGGAUUGAGAAGGAUACUCCAGAAAAAGUAUGCCCAGCAAUGGCCAUAUCAAAAAACUCUUUGCUUACACAGAAAGAACUUCCAAGCCAGCAUAAACAGGAAAUCAGAUCUGAUCUUGAGACAGUUAAUGUGACACCGACCAACCCAAUAGAUGCCCAAGAAUCUUUGAGGCAAAGCAGCAAGAACAAGAGAGGGAGCCGUAUGUUGCACAAUAAACGUUCCACAUCUAACCAAGGCGGCUCGUUUUGUCUUUCUGUGGAAGCUGCAGAGUCUCCACAAAUCCCCAAACAAAACAAAGCAGAGUUCGGCAUCGCAAGGAAAUCCACCUCACCUACUUUUGCAUCUCCGGCUCGAGCCAAAGUACCUUCUGUUGGUUUUAAGUCUCCUGUGGUGUCAUCAAGGAGGAAUCUGUCCUUUGUGGCUUCUGGGUUAAAUCAAUGUGAGAUGGCAUUAGUGCAACGAUUUUCAAAAACAACCCAGAGCAUUUUAUCCAGUCGAAUUACUGAUUCAACAACUCAUGUCAUCAUGAAAACAGAUGCAGAGCUUGUGUGUGAACGAACUCUAAAGUAUUUCCAAGGAAUUGCCAGUCGAAAAUGGGUGGUAAGCUAUGAAUGGGUUGUACAGUCAUUCAGAGAGGGGCAAAUCCUUGAUGAGUAUGACUUUGAAGUGAAGGGAGAUGUGAUCAAUGGAAGAAAUCAUAGAGGUCCCAGACGAUCAAGGCUGGGAUCCGAUGGAUUGCUGUUAAUCGAUUUUGAAAUUUGCUUCUUUGGCUCAUUCACUGACAUGACACUCGAUGAUCUUGAGUGGAUGGUGUCUGAGUGUGGAGCCACUGUGGUGAAAAAACUUCAGUUCUUUAAAAAGAAACACAAUGUGACAUUGCUUGUGAUUGUGCAACCUGAUGCUAGUACAGAAGUCCGAGAUUAUACUGAGAUCAGGAAGAAGCACAAGGCACUAGUAGUGACGCGUGAGUGGUUAAUGGACAGUGUUGCUACUUACAGACUUCAGAAGUUUGAUGCUUACCUUGCAUAAAAUCACAGUGGAACUGGCCGGUUAUGAUACGCGUCUAGCUCUUAUCCUUUCACUAUCUACAAGUGCCUUCUUUACAUUCUUAUAUAAUUCGCUGUCUACCGAAAUGCACUGAUAUAAGCUGUGUUAGCAUCUUCAUCACAACAGGUUUGAAGAGAACAGUUAGGAUGGGGUUCUCACAAAAGUUUUUGAUGCUCUAGUUAAAGGAAUGUUUGCCUAGGAGCAACAAAAAACCUUAUAAGGAGGAAGAUCGAGCUUCUAUCAGAUUCCAUUACACAGUUUAGUUGGUUACUAUGGCCUAAGCUUUUGAGUCUGGCCCCUAUGUGGAGACCUGAAGCAGUGGCACGAGGACUUAGCCUUUAGGUGAUUUAGGGUAAAGUGUGUAGACUUCCUAAGUGCUGUCCUAUAUCUGAAUGUCUUGCUUGAAGUCUGGUUCGGGUGAGAUUAGAAGACAAUGCCUAUUUGUUCUAGAAACUGAAAUCCAAGCUUGAAGUCCAGUUAGAGAAAGAUUAGGGGACAAUGUAAGUUUGUUCUAGAUAUGCCUAAAAGCCCAGUUUGAAGUCUAGUAAUAGUGAAGUUUGGGGAGAAUGCAGUUUGUUCUCUGAGAUAUACCUGAAAGCCCAGCCUGAAGAUAAAUUAGUGUGAAGAUUUAGGUGAAACCAUUUUCAGAUCUAGAUAUUGUAACUAUGGCUUAAUAGCCAAUAUUUUCAUAUAUCUCUAACCUUGUAAGUAUUGACCAAAGCUCCAACAAGCUCUGUCAUAUUCUAUGUAACCUUGAAUUUAAUGUCUAAGCUGGCGUGCAGAGUAUCCCAUAUGGACAAGAGCAAGCAAACUGGAUUUUCCUAGACUUUGUUCACUGUACAACAGUAUGCAUACUAGAGGAAUAGAUGGCCAGACAGAGGUCAGGUAAUAAAGAACCUUCUUCCAUCUAUAGCCAGAUAUGGGUGCAUAACUUCAUAAUUCAGGAUCACCCCCCCCCCCUACCAAGUGCCUAACUGAACUUUAUAUUUGGAUGUAUAAUCUAAUACUGUAUGUUUAAUGUCUGCAUAUAGUUAAUCGUGCUCUAAUCUCAUCUCGUAGUUCAUGUAAAACAGGAAAAUUUUAAGCAGCACAGUUUUAAUUCAACAAAAAUUUCCAACAAAGUUCUUACAUUGUCAGGCUUGAGAUGGUUUUAUCUAGCUGUGCAUAGGUAACACCACUGCAAGUUAUUACCAUGCUGCUCCGAAAUACGUGCAAUUCACCACCAUAGUUCCAAAUAAAAAGCAGAAUAUGCUCUCCUAA